rnacentral:misc_RNA from 1 species
GAUGAAGAACGCAGCGAAAUGCGAUAAGUAAUGUGAAUUGCAGAAUUCAGUGAAUCAUCGAAUCUUUGAACGCACCUUGCGCUCCUUGGUAUUCCGAGGAGCAUGCCUGUUUGAGUGUCAUUAAUAUAUCAACCUUCUCUUUUUUGAGUUGUUUGGAUGUGGGGGUUUGCUGGCCUCUUAAAUGAUUCAGCUCCCCUGAAAUGCAUUAGCAGAACAACCUGUUCAUUAGCGUGAUAAUUAUCUAUGCUAUUGAAUGUGAGGGCAGUUCAGCUUUCUAACCGUCCUUGGACAAUUCAUCAUUAAUGUGACCUCAAAUCAGGUAGGACUACUCGCUGAACUUAAGCAUAUCAAUAAGCGGAGGA